AAUCAACGCUGGCGGCGUGCCUAACACAUGCAAGUCGAACGUGAAAGUUCCUUCGGGGAUGAGUAAAGUGGCGUCCGGGUGAGUAACACGUGGGUAAUCUACCUUCGGGUGGGAAAUAACGGAUCGAAAGAUUCGCUAAUACCGCAUAAUGCAGCGGCACCUAAUGGUGAAUAGUUGUUAAAGCGGGGGAUCUUCGGACCUCGCGCCUGAAGAGGAGCCUGCGGCAGAUUAGCUUGUUGGUGAGGUAAUGGCUCACCAAGGCUGCGAUCUGUAGCUGGUCUGAGAGGACGGCCAGCCACACUGGCACUGACACACGGGCCAGACUCCUACGGGAGGCAGCAGUGGGGAAUUUUGGGCAAUGGGCGAAAGCCUGACCCAGCAACGCCGCGUGAGGGAGGAAAUCCUUCGGGAUGUAAACCUCAUAAGUAAAGAAAGAAUGCUUCCGGUCUAAUACACGGGAAAGCCGACGGUACUUUACAUAAGCCACGGCUAACUACGUGCCAGCAGCCGCGGUAAUACGUAGGUGGCAAGCGUUGUUCGGAAUUAUUGGGCGUAAAGGGCGCGUAGGCGGUUGGUUAAGUCAGCUGUGAAAGCCCGGGGCUCAACCCCGGAGGGUCGGCUGAUACUGGCUAACUAGAGUAC
rnacentral:rRNA from 1 species